AUGACUUGCAAUCCUAAAUGGGAAGAGAUAAAGAAUGAGUUGCUGCCUGGUUAAACGGCGCAAGACCGACCUGAUAUUGUGGCUCGGGUGUUCUAUGGCAAACUAGAACACAUGAAAUACGUGUUGUUCAAGAAGCAUAUCCUGGGUGUUGUUGUCGCUUACGUAUACGUAGUCGAGUUCCAAAAAAGGGGCCUCCCCCACGCACAUUUUUUGUUGAUCAUGCACUCAACAUAUAAGGUUAUCGUCCCGGAGCAGUAUGACCGACUCAUUUCCGCGGAGCUCCCAAACAAGCGCAAGUAUCCAGAAUUGUAUGCAAUGGUGGUAAAACAUAUGAUGCACAGACCAUGCGGUGCUCUUAAUCCCAAGAAUGUUUGCAUGCAAGAAAAUGGUUGCAAGUGUAGAUAUCCACGGCUGUUCAAUGAGAACACAGCACAGGGGAAGGACUCAUACCCAGUUUAUCGACGGAGAGAUGAUGGAAGACGUGCUAAGGUCCGAGGGAAGAUGUUGGACAACCGUUGGGUUGUGCCUUAUAACCCAUACCUUCUGCGGAUGUUCAAUUGCCACAUAAACGUUGAGGUCUGCUCUAGCAUAAAGGCCGUCGAAUAUCUUUACAAGUACAUUUACAAGGGCCAUGAUAAGGCUUCUUUCAGCAUCGACCAGCCCGACGCCAAUGGUAACAUUGAUGAGAUCAAGAGAUACGUUGAUGCAAGGUGGGUCACCCCUCCGGAGGCUAUGUGGAGGAUAUUUGGAUUCCCACUUUGCGCCAAUUACCCGCCUGUCUUGUAG
rnacentral:rRNA from 1 species